UGCACAGAUGUUGAUGGUGCACUGUUAAAAUAAUGCACCACAAAAUCUCUCAACGUUCUGCUUCUUUAUUGCAAAAAUACACUACUUUUGAAAACAAAGUAGGAUGACUUAUUUAUUGGUAGAACCUGUGGUUUUCUCGUUGGCGUGUGAAAAUGAAUGAACAAAGCAUUGGAAAGAUUGGCGAGUUUUAUCGAUGACGAAGUUUCUAGAAGAGAGAACAUCCUCGGACAUACAUCAGAGAAGACUCUACCUCAAGCCACUUAACACCAUAUGAAGGAAAUAUUUCCACCCGAAAAUACGAUUGUCAUAAUGAACUGGUCGUAAGCCCAGAAUAUCUCACGAAAAAUAUGCUGUUGUAUGAAAAACUAUGAUUAAAUAGAAAGCGUAAUCUUUUAUCUAUUUAAAGUAUCACAACGCGACACUCUGCACUUAUUUCCAUUAUAUAUUGCAUCUACAUUCGAAAAGAACAUAUAUAAAUAUUCGAUUCGAUGGACUAUUUUAACCAGCAAGGGGCAAGGUUUAUUUGUUAAGACGAAAAAAAUGUUUUCCUUUUUUGUAAAAAUAGAGCAGCAUAUAAAAUCCCGAUAAAUUUAGCCUUGAGAUUAAUAUUAGUUCGAGUUUAUCGCGGUUAUUGGAACAUCAGAAAGGCAUGGUUUAUUAUGGUCUAUUUCCAAAUGCCAUAUGUGUACCUGAUUUUAAUGGAUACGGAGUUUAAACAUGGUCGGGAGUACAUUUUUCAUUUUUAUCGCAGGUUUUAAAGACUCCAGUAACUGAAGGUAAAAAUAAGAGAACAAGAAAUAUCUCCGAUUUAAUGUGAUGUUUUACAUUUAUCGUUGUAAAAAUGUUACUAAUUCCUUAUUUAACCUGUUUUAACUUAAAAGUGCACAAUAUGAAAAGGGAUAUCAAUUGCAUUAUACUGCAUACGGUACGUUCUAUUCAUCACAGGUGCCAAAACAAUCUCGUUCCCAGACCCCACGGGAACAUUUGUACUAGCAGGUACUUGGGCUCUGGGAACGAGAUUGGCACCAAGAGUGCAACGUGGAAGUGACUUGUCUUUAUCAUAGCCAGAACAGGGACUAGCUUAGAGUUCGAGAUCUUUAGCACUACAAUACAAUUGAGAAAGGAAGGGAGAAAUAUAAAAUGAAGGAAUAGAGAAAGGAAGAGAUACGUACAGUAACAGCCAAUAACAUUGUGUUUUAUUUCUCUAGAGAACAUCCUCGGACAUACAUCAGAGAAGACUCUACCUCAAGCCACUUAACACCAUAUGAAGGAAAUAUUUCCACCCGAAAAUACGAUUGUCAUAAUGAACUGGUCGUAAGCCCAGAAUAUCUCACGAAAAAUAUGCUGUUGUAUGAAAAACUAUGAUUAAAUAGAAAGCGUAAUCUUUUAUCUAUUUAAAGUAUCACAACGCGACACUCUGCACUUAUUUCCAUUAUAUAUUGCAUCUACAUUCGAAAAGAACAUAUAUAAAUAUUCGAUUCGAUGGACUAUUUUAACCAGCAAGGGGCAAGGUUUAUUUGUUAAGACGAAAAAAAUGUUUUCCUUUUUUGUAAAAAUAGAGCAGCAUAUAAAAUCCCGAUAAAUUUAGCCUUGAGAUUAAUAUUAGUUCGAGUUUAUCGCGGUUAUUGGAACAUCAGAAAGGCAUGGUUUAUUAUGGUCUAUUUCCAAAUGCCAUAUGUGUACCUGAUUUUAAUGGAUACGGAGUUUAAACAUGGUCGGGAGUACAUUUUUCAUUUUUAUCGCAGGUUUUAAAGACUCCAGUAACUGAAGGUAAAAAUAAGAGAACAAGAAAUAUCUCCGAUUUAAUGUGAUGUUUUACAUUUAUCGUUGUAAAAAUGUUACUAAUUCCUUAUUUAACCUGUUUUAACUUAAAAGUGCACAAUAUGAAAAGGGAUAUCAAUUGCAUUAUACUGCAUACGGUACGUUCUAUUCAUCACAGGUGCCAAAACAAUCUCGUUCCCAGACCCCACGGGAACAUUUGUACUAGCAGGUACUUGGGCUCUGGGAACGAGAUUGGCACCAAGAGUGCAACGUGGAAGUGACUUGUCUUUAUCAUAGCCAGAACAGGGACUAGCUUAGAGUUCGAGAUCUUUAGCACUACAAUACAAUUGAGAAAGGAAGGGAGAAAUAUAAAAUGAAGGAAUAGAGAAAGGAAGAGAUACGUACAGUAACAGCCAAUAACAUUGUGUUUUAUUUCUCUAGAGAACAUCCUCGGACAUACAUCAGAGAAGACUCUACCUCAAGCCACUUAACACCAUAUGAAGGAAAUAUUUCCACCCGAAAAUACGAUUGUCAUAAUGAACUGGUCGUAAGCCCAGAAUAUCUCACGAAAAAUAUGCUGUUGUAUGAAAAACUAUGAUUAAAUAGAAAGCGUAA